rnacentral:lncRNA from 1 species
GGUCUGCCUUUGCCAGAGACUAUAAAUAUGUGGGGCCAAUGACUCAGCAAAUCUGUUGCUAUUUUUCUUGCAGGUCCGUGUGGAUCUGUGUCUGUGUACACCAUGGCCCCAUCUCCCAGCAGCUCCCAUGGCUUGUAUCCAUGGAAACGCAGUCCUCCCCACUCUAGCACUCUGGCUGAUAAACACUGGGAGUCUCCCCAGCCCCCCACCCACCUUGGAGGAAAAGCAUGGACCACAAGGGCUCCCACUGAGCAGGAGGAUACCAUUGACAGAGAAGGUGCUACUUUCUCAGUUGCUUUCAGAGUCAAGGCAAGGCCAAGCAUCCAGGCCCUUCCCCUGCUGGUCUGUGGUCAAGGCUUUGUUGUCUGUUUAAGGGAGAACAAAGUUGCCACCAGAUCUCAGAAGCAAAAGAAAGGGUCAUGGAAUCAUUCAAUGGACAUCGAUAGGGACCUCCCUGGUGGUCCAAUGGUUAAGAAUCCACCGUCCAAUGCACGGGACUUGGGUUCGAUCCCUGGUCAGGGAACUGAGACCCUACAUGCCAUGGGGCAGCUAAGCCAGCACGUUGCAACUGUAGAACCCAGGUGUCCUGGAGCCCCGAGACUUGCAACUAGAGAAAAGGCCAUGACCUGCAACGGAGGCUCCUACGUGACGCAACUGAGACCCAACACAGCCGAAAAUAGGUUUAGCUGGUUCUGUCCAGAACCAUGA